rnacentral:rRNA from 1 species
AUUGAACGCUGGCGGCAGGCCUAACACAUGCAAGUCGAGCGAGCGGCGGACGGGUGAGUAAUGUAUGGGGAUCUGCCCGAUAGAGGGGGCUAACUACUGGAAACGGUGGCUAAUACCGCAUACUAUCGGAUGAACCCAGAUGGGAUUAGCUAGUAGGUGGGGUAAGGGCUCACCUAGGCGACGAUCUCUAGCUGGUCUGAGAGGAUGACCAGACACACUGGAACUGAGACACGGUCCAGACUCGUACGGGAGGCAGCAGUGGGGAAUAUUGCACAAGGGGCGCAAGCCUGAUGCAGCCAUGCCGCGUGUGUGAAGAAGGCCUUAGGGUUGUAAAGUACUUUCAGCGAGGAGGCGUUACUCGCAGAAGAAGCACCGGCUAACUCCGUGCCAGCAGCCGCGGUAAUAC